UAAAUCACGUUAAUACAAACUUACUUUUCAUCAAAAUCAAGUUUGCAAAAUCAAUUCUAUAACUGUAAUCCAAACACACACUUGGUCGUCUGUAGUGUACAGAUCCGUUGCGCCUUUCCUUGAGACUCAACAUUCCAGUUAGCUAGUGCAAAUUCCCUAAAUGGAUUGCUUAGGGAGGCAUGAACUUGAUCCCAGGAAACCGGAAUGACAGAGGAGGUCGAAUGUGGCUCAGCAUUCACAUACAUAGCAACUGUGCGCAUCCUAGGAACCUUCCUUCCCCGGUGGUUCUGCAAUGGUUGAGCGAACAGAAGCCUCCUCUUUUGAUGAUGAUCUAGCUAUGUCAGUUGGUUCGGCUACUACUCUUUCUUCUAUGAUGCAAUUUCGGUCCCAUUCCUCAAGGCAGAGGAAGGUUUCCCUAAUGACUGAUCAACCCAUGGAACUAUAGUUUGGCUACUUCUGUAUGGUCUUACCGAGAACCCUUCUGAUAGGGUAUUUCCAUGUUUGUGUGUGUUUUGUUUUAUUUCAUCAUUGCUUUAAUCUGAAAGUGGUGAGGCAUACCAUACAUCUCUUUUCUCUGGAGCAGAUAGACCCGAAGCACUUCUUUUACUGACAUCAGGUACCGUGGAGCAGUACCUAGGGAAAGGAUUAAGGAGAUUUUUGAUUAGUUAGCACUACCAAGGAAGUAGAAUAAGGGAAGGAAUAGAAAGCGGGGAGAAGGUCCUCUUUCCUUAGAGACCUGGUAGUCGAUGUCCUCUUUCAGAGUGAGCCCCCCCUUUCUCUAAGCGACAAGCCUGGCCUUCUAUUUCUCAAUCUUGCCUUUUGAUUCUCUAUUGGUCUUAUCCAUUUACACCCUACGGGCUUGGCUCAUUUUCUUUCUCUGGGUUUCAGAGUGAGUGGGUUAAGGAGCCUUUUUCCUUUUUCCGCCUUUCGUCUUUCCAGUCAAGCAGUGGUUCCUGCUCUUGCCUCUCAUGAAUCUACUCGGCCAUUCCGGAAUGAGUGAGCUUUUGUAUCCGUAUUGAAGAAUCCGGUUAUCGACUCGGCAGCUAUUGAAUCUAAGCCAAUUGAAUCAGCAACCGCUGGUACUGUAAGCGGUGUUCAAAUAGCCGUUGUUGGGAUCUUCUCUGCAGCUAGCUCUUCUUCUUACUGGGUUAUGCUUCCUCAUAGUUCUCUGGAACAUGAUUCUCUCAUACGCACUCCUAUAAAAGGAGUUAGGAAGCCCAUUUCUGAUCUGAGUGGUUCUGGCCCUGAUAGCCAAUGAGCGCUUGUCUGGUAUCAAAUGAGCUCAAGUAGUUGAGUAGCUAAAGGCUUUGGUUGCCUUAGAUGAAAGAAUGUCCUAUCUUCGGAUAGCUUCCUACAAACUUCUUACCUUAUUUAUGGAAGUUCCUGGAUUCUGUGAAAUAAGAACAGAGGGAUUUAUUAGCAGCUCAAGCUCCAUUUCAAAGGUGAGGAGUUAACCUUCUGGCUGAUUCAAUAUCACCGGAGUCUGCUAAGGGUUCCAAACCAGCAGCGAAGUUCCUUUUCGACGAUACACUGGAAUCGGGUCUAUUUUAAGCGGGAAGAAAGACUACCGACGGGUAUGAGUUCAAUACAGGGAUUCGCCAUGAAAGAACUACCUACCAGACAUCCUAGCUUGUGUAAAAAUCGAUUGAAGGACAGUACUCUUUCUCUACUGGAAGCGAAGGCAGGAGCAAAGCCUAUUGAUUCACCUGUUUGCUAACCUACUUGUCGGAUACUCGCACUCUGUAACCAGAAUAGGGCUCUGGAGUUCAUACCACCCGGCGACUUCUAUGAAGAAGGCGGCGCCUUAACUAGCCCUACCUAAAUCAAUUCCCUUGCUUGAAUCAAUACGCUUACCGGACUUCCAUUUCUGUAUUUCGAGCUAUUCAAUUGAUUUUGUUGCAGACUCUUCCCCCGGCCCAGUAGUUGAGCUUGACCCUCGCCCUAUGCGGAGAUCUUUCCUUUUAGGUACAGGUUAAUUUAGCUAAGGCAUUCAAAGCCUUAGCGCUUACUCUUUCACCGUUCUAUUAAAUUGAAGGUUAACUUCCCCAAACCGGCGUUCAAAGGCGGAGGAGAAAAAAGCGACUUUCUAUUCAAAUGAGACAAAUUUGAGCUUUAUCCGCUUCAAUUCAAUAAGGAAUUAUUAUCUAAAUAGUAAGAGUGGGAACUCAAAAGCAAGAACUUUUAACCAUCAUUCCUUAACUCUAAAGGGCGUGAAUGUGUAGAUCAAGCAAGAAGGGAGCUAUGGGAUAGCGCCCGAUUGAUUGAGCGUCUUACAGCCAGUCAAGCAAGCUAGCAAAGCCAGCGCAGAAGCCUGGAUCCACACAGGGAACUUCAAAGGAGGUUAUCUUUAACCUACUGCUCUUAAAAAAAAAUGGAAAUCUUUAUUGGACCAAGGCCCUAUGAUAGCCAGCUAAAACUUAACGGGGUUUUUGCAUAUUAUUGUAAUUACUAAUUCUCAAUAUCUCUCUUCUUGCCGUUUGUCCUCAGCAACAGAGUGUUGUUGUUCUCUUUGCUAUCAUCGUGCACUACGUCAUUUUGUCGCCGUUUAGUAUUGUCGUUUUCACUGCUUCGUCCUGAGCAGGUAGCGAUGGCAUAGGUCUCAGAGAGUCAGCAUUGUCGUCAUUUCCGUGAUGCUCCGUCUCCCCCUCUCCCCCUUCAUCGCUACACUUUCAGAAUUCCAAUGGAACUUCAGCCUUAGGGAAAUCGGAGUAUCCUCACCAGGGGCGGCGCCGGGUGGUAGGAAAGGGGGCAUCGCCCCCUAAUUUUAAUUUUUUACAUGUAAUUAUAUGUAAAUUUCAGUUUAACCCUCCCUUAAAUUUUAUUUUAAUCUUAGUUUAUUGUAUAAAUAUUUUUAGCUCACUCUAAUAUUUUAUUUAGCUCCGCCUCUAAUCCCCACCUGAUGUUGGUGCAAGUCGGGGGCACAACCCGACAUAAAGUUCUAUGUUCUGUAUGCAAAAACUAUUGCAGAUUCAGGGGACCAGCAGCGAUUUGUGAAGAAAUUCAUGUUUGCUUGUUGCCACAAUCAAAUCCAAAGAAAUAUGAUGCAUGGAGGAGAAGGUGAGAUGAUGUUCAUGUUGCUGUUUCAGUUCCAGCUUUCAUCAAAUCUUGAAUGUCUUGCGUACAUACCCAGCGGGCUCCUGAACUCUCUACUGUGAUAUCUCCAUAAUAAUCGUUAGGAAAUAAC